rnacentral:rRNA from 1 species
GCCUGCAUGAAGUCGGAAUUGCUAGUAAUCGCGGAUCAGAAUGCCGCGGUGAAUACGUUCCCGGGCCUUGUACACACCGCCCGUCACACCAUGAGAGCCGGUAACACCCGAAGUCAGGAGCCUAACCGCAAGGAGGGCGCUGCCGAAGGUGGGAUUGGUAAUUGGGGUGAAGUCGUAACAAGGUAUC